UCAUUCAUUCAUUCAUUCAUUCUUUCUUUCUUUCUUUCUUUCUUUCUUUCUUUCUUCAAUCUUACCCUAAUCUGUGAAAAGAAUCAAAUACGCACAGCACACAUUGUGGAAUUAUGGUGUUGGAGUGGGUCGUCAAAGAUCAAGAAACUGCCAUGCUAGAUUUGUGCUGAUAAUCUCUUCGCUUUGCUAUGACAACCUAUGCCAUAUAAGGAUGCUUGCAUUGUGAUCAAUGGAGGAAACCAUAAUGAGGUUGUAUCUGAUAAAAUUCAGUGGGUGUUGGGCAUAGCAAUGUUGUUGAACAUAGUGAAGUUCAGGUUCAGCAUGCUAAUAAGGUGGUUAAUUCCCAAAGUUCAACGGUGAUUUGGAAACCAAAAUCUCAUGGAACUGUUCUUGUAGGACUGUAACUGAAGUUGAAAGCAUGUUGUUGGGUAAAGGGAAGGUUGAUGGUUGAGAUUGAGAUGCAGCUUCAUGCACGAGUCAGAGCAACCUUUUGAAAAUGAAAAGUCAGAUCAAGAGGUAUAUAUGAUUCCUAUCUCAGUUUCUUAUGUUUUGAUUUCAUGAGUGGAUGUAUCAAUUUUUCUAGUUUAUGUAUUUGUUUCUUGGUAAUAAUUGUUUGAGUUUCAAUUUAUUAGAUAAAUCAAACACAUUUUUUUCAAAAACAUUCAAAAGAAACUGAUAUGCCCUAUUUGGUACCAAUAUUUUGAAGACAGAACUUUUUGGUUUGCUACGGUAAUUUUGGAACUUUCAAUCAUUGUGUGACGGAAUUUUUUUUCAUUAUCUGAAAAAGGGGUGGAGUAUAUUGUCCUAGUAACCCUAAAUUUGACCAUUGGAAUCAAUGAAUAUAUUAUGUUUAAUAAAUUUUGUAACGGAUGGAUCAUAGAUGCCUCAAUGACUACAGAGUAAAAUGUUGGAUGAACUGUAAUGACUCUAGUCCCUGAAUGUGAAAGCUGGUUGUUGUCUUAAUUGCUACUCAAGUAAUUGACUCUAUCUGUGUCUGCUUUUCUAUUAAAAAAAAUUAUGAAUUUUUAUUCAUAAUAAUGCAUGAAUGGGUAUAUAUUCUGCUUUGAUGACCCUUAGUUUUGAAAUUCAAUUCUGCAACUGCAAUUAAAACUGAUUUUGCAUUAUGAACUUAAUCACCCUAGUUCCUAAUGUUUCAUAAGUUUUGUAAGGGAUGAAUGCUUCAAUGACCUUAGAGUAAAAUGCAUUACAAGCUCUUUAUUCGUAAAGGAAAAGUUGGAUGGUGGCCUUUAAAGAAAUUUGAAUAUGAACUUUUAUUCAAAAUGUGUAUGGUCGCUAUUGUCUUAUUAUGACCCUAAUUAUGAAAAUGUCACUGAGAUGAUUUUUCUUUUUCAUUUUCUUUUCAUUAUCUAUAAAGGGUGGUAUAGUAUUCAUAAACCCACUAACUCCAAAUUCGAUAAUAAGAUGGGAUUGUCUUGUUAAACAAAAAAUGAUGGAUGAUGCCUUAAUGCGAAAGCUAGUUGUUGCCUUAAAUGCAGUUGUGCUUUGAUGAAAAAUAUAAGGCACAAACGUUUGCUAUUGUGAUUUGAUGACCCUAGUCCCUGAAUUCAAUUUUGCAAAUGCAAUUAGAAGUGAUUUUGCAUUAUGAACUUAAUGUCCCUAAUGUUUCAUAAGUUUUGUAAGGGCACUUGAAAGUUGGAAUCGAUGAAUAUACUAUGUCUUAUAGAUUUUGUAAUGGAUGGAUCAUAGAUGCCUUCAUGACCAUAGAGUAAAAUAUUGGAUGAACUUGCUGACCCUAGUCCCUGAAUAUGAAAGCUAGUCCCUACUCAAGCCAUUGUCUUUAUCGGUGUCCGCUUUACUAUUAAAAAAAUUAUGAUUUUUUAUUCAUAAUAAUGCAUGAAUGGAUAUAUAUUCUGCUUUGAUGACCCUUAGUCCCUAAAUUCAAUUCUGCAACUGCAACUAGAAGUGAUUUUGCAUUAUGAACUUAAUGACCCUUGUCCUUAAUGUUGACUUAUGCCUUAAUGUGAAAGAUAGUUGUUUCCUUAAUUAUGAAAAGCAAUUUUAAUAUGAAAUGACACUAUAUUAUUGUCUUUUUAAUAUGAAAUUUUAUUCAAAACGUGGAUGAUGUCUAUUGUCUUUUUAUGACCCUAAUUAUGAAACUGUCACUAGUAGUAUGGUAUACAUGAGAUCACUAACUCCAAAAUCGAUGGAUAUACUACUUUGUUCCUUGACUUUUGUAAGGGAUUGUCUUGGUGGCUCAAAAAUGCUAGAUGAUGCCUUAAUGUGAAAGCUAGUUGUUUCCUUAAAUGCAAUUUUAAUAUAAAAUUUCAUUCAUAAUAUAAGGCAUGGAUAUUAUCUAUUGUGCUUUAAUGACUCUAAAUGCAAUUUUGCAACUACAAUAUGAACUGAUUUUGCAAAUGCAAAAGGCAUUGCUUCCUUGUGUUUGAUUAGCCUACUAAUAAGGGUUUCAAAGGAAUUCUCUAAGGAAGACACGAAUCAACUGAAGUAAAGUACAAAGAAACCAACUCUUUGGAGUCUAAACUGUUACUUAUAAUAUUUAUCUGGUAUAUAUGGCACUAUGGCCAUGAGGUUGUAUCUGUUAGUCUUUUUUACCGCAGAUCUAUUGUGAAAUCUGAUAAAAUUUGGUGUGUGUUGGUAUAAGAAUCAGAUAGCACUAUAUUUGUGUUGAUUAUUAUAAAUGUAAGUCUUGGAUUUAGUAACUAAAAAAGGUAGAACCUUACCCAUUUUUCUCAUUCUUGAUCAUUCAAUAUAAUUCAAUCUUCUGCUUGAUAAAUACAAAACCUUUUAUUGGUGAGCAUAGCAGUGUUCAGGUUCAGCAUGCUAAUAAGGUGGUUAAUUCCCAAGGUUCAAUGGUGAUUUCGAAACCAAAAUCUCAUGGAACUGUUAGUGUUCAAACUUGAAAGCAUGAUGGUGGGCAAAGGAAAGGUUGAUGGUUCAGAUGUUGGUGUUGAUGUGGCUUCAUGCACGAACUAGAGCUACUUUCUAUCCCAAAUAUGAAAAUGAGGAUGAUGCCUUAAUGUGAAAGCUAGUUGAUGAGAAGUAAUUAUCAGGUGAUGAGAUAUUCCAUUUUUUUAAUUUCAUUGUGAUUGUUUGUAUUGGCUUUAUGAUUUCAAACAUGGUUGAAUUAUUCAUUUUAUAUUCAUAUAACAACAUAUUCUUAUAUAUAGAACUUUGUUAAACAGUA